CGCGUAGGCGGCCGUUCAAGUCGGACGUGAAAUCCCCCGGCUCAACUGGGGAACUGCGUCCGAUACUGUUCGGCUCGAGUCCUGGAGAGGGUAGUGGAAUUCCCAGUGUAGCGGUGAAAUGCGUAGAUACUGGGAGGAACAUCGGUGGCGAAGGCGGCUACCUGGACAGGUACUGACGCUGAGGCGCGAAAGCUAGGGGAGCAAAACA
rnacentral:rRNA from 1 species